rnacentral:rRNA from 1 species
GAUUAAGUUAUUAAGGGCGCACGGUGGAUGCCUUGGCACUAGAAGCCGAUGAAGGACGUUACUAACGACGAUAUGCUUUGGGGAGCUGUAAGUAAGCUGUGAUCCAGAGAUUUCCGAAUGGGAAACCCAGCACGAGUUAUGUCGUGUUAUCGACAUGUGAAUAUAUAUCAUGUCUGAAGGCAUACCCGGAGAACUGAAACAUCUUAGUACCCGGAGGAAGAGAAAGAAAAAUCGAUUCCCUGAGUAGCGGCGAGCGAAACGGGAAGAGCCCAAACCAAUAAGCUUGCUUAUUGGGGUUGUAGGACACUCUAUACGGAGUUACGAAAUGUACAAAAUUAGAAAGAAUUA